rfam:Oryza glumipatula chromosome 11, whole genome shotgun sequence.
CCUCUAGAUGAUGAAGAACUGGUGUCGUACAUCCUCGCGGGCCUCGACAUCGACUACAAUCCAUUGGUAUCCACUGUUGUUGGUCGUUCUGAUCCAAUCUCUUUAAGUGAUCUGUAUUCCCAGAUGGUUAGUUACGACA